UCCCUGAGAAAACAGUUUUGAAAGCAAAGCUCUAUUAACACAGCGGAAUACUUCUUCGACAGUACGAAAACACAUGAAAAUAAUAGCUCUGGUACACGGUUACCAAGGAGACGGAGCAUGGGCUGUUCUUCAGUGUUCUUCACGGAAUGUUCUGCCUUCCUGGUGGCAGUACGGAUCUUUCAGCAGUAGAACCUUUUGAAAUGUAACAGCUGCUGUUGAAUGAGGAACUUGAGCAGGUUCUCUACGCUGGCAGGUAGCUGGCCUGGGUCUGGGGUCAGGGUGAGAACGCAGCCUGCGAGUUGCACCUUGCCCUGUUGCAAGGUGGAGAAAUCUAGACGUUUAUGGACGAUCGAAAUGCAGAGGACGUCACCAGCUGUUACAUCACGCUCGGGACGUGAGCUCUCCAAUGUACACAGUGACAUCACCGUUCAUGGUCAUGGUUACAGUGUUGUCAUGGAGGUCAGAAAGUCAGAGGCUGUUGGAGUCUCACUGCCCCUGGGCCACAUUGACACCAUUGCUGUGGACUUCGGUCCUCUGAGCUGAGUUCUCUAAACAGCGCACCCAACACAUCUGAAGGCUUCAUAUCAGCUUCCUUGACUUCCAGGAGAUAAGCCCGAAGAAUUAAACAUGAACCCAUGGCAUCUGGCUGGCAUGUCUGAAGUUGGAGAGAACGAUGACAUGAAAGGGAUUUUUUCAGAGCCCCCCACCCUCAAUCUUUCCUGAUUUUCUUAAUCGUCUUACAUACAGCUUUCUGAGAAUUGGAAGAGUCGAAUGAGUGUAUGACCAUUAGAAACAGUGCUGAGGUUUGAUAUGUAAAUGGACCCUAGUGUACAGUGUGUCUAGAUUUUAAAUACUACUGUAAAAAUAUACUGGUACCCCUCCAA